rnacentral:lncRNA from 1 species
AAAAUAUGUAUGUACCUGCAACACGACAGAUAGGGAGAUAUGGAUGUAAGUAGAAUAUGGCACCUACUUAGUAUUAAACAAGAGUAAAUUCAUCUCAUACUAUGUUGAAAAAGGUUGUCAAUAUGGGAUUUAUGAAAGGAGAAGAGACUAUGUUUGGAGUAGAUGAAUUUCACAAAAUUAGAAGUGUGGAACUUAUUUACCAACCUAUAUAUUAAUCUUUUCUAUAUAGAUUCAUACAUAUAUUUCAUCUUUUUUUUUAAAAAAAUUCAUUUAUUCCCGACAUAGUUAAAGCUAAGUAUUUUUGUUAACUACAGGUAAUGAAAAGGGGAGGUCUUAGCCGGUGAAGAAAUUUGAGUUGAGAAAAAUUACAAGGCAACUAGGCGACCACAGGCACAGGAUUGUCAGCUGGACGUGGAAUCAUCUGCCAUCCUGUAGAGCGCUGAAGAAACUGUUUGAGAGCUUCUGUUGGAGCUUCAACUGCCCAAGUUGGAUAGUGUUGGCUGGGAUGAAAUAUUUGGGUUCCAGCAGGGAUAGGCAUUAACCCUGAUUGAGCCCCAUUUGUAAAUAAGUCACCUUCCGACUUUAUGCAGCCUGAUCUUGCGUCCUCUCUGUCAGCUGCCUGCAGGACCAACACAAAAACCCACAAUUCAAUUUGAUAAAAACACCUUCAUUAGCCUUACCAAAUGGAAAUUCCGUACCAUCCAAAACAUAG